CAAAACGUUACCAUCGGAACUACUCAAGUGACCUAGAAUUUUUUGAAAUUCCAUCGUAAAAUUCAAUAUUCCUGCCACUGCUAUCUGCAAAAAUACGACUAAUUCAAUGUAUUGAGUAAAAACGUUACUUUCUGGGAUUUGUAUCAAUUUUGAAAGCUUGUCGAAUUGGGUCCAGAAAAUCGUGAUAAUUCGUGUCGAAAACCACAGAAUUUGGACCAUUUUUUGAUGUGCUUCGUUCCGAAAUCUCUCCACUUUGACCCAGUUGACUGAAAUUUUCAAAGGAGUUGAUCCAGUGAUCCGAAUCUGCUUUUUUGGAGUAGUGAGACGUUUCGAUUUAUUGCUCGUCAUUCAUCACUCGCAAAAAAUAAUGGAAAUGGGACAGAAUAGAAGAUCUAAUUUGAAAAUUUAAAUAAUCCAUACCGCUUCCACUUCAGUUUCGGUUUUGGCCUUGCUCUCCGUCAAAGGGGACGGCGGCGGUGCAGUUGCAUUCGUAUCACCCACCAUUGAUUCGAUCAAUGCGGUCAAUAGAACGAUGAAAAUCAGCGGGAGAUGUUUCGCCUGAAAUAUGAGAUACACUUUGAAUGAUUUCCGUACAACUGUGUGUGGCGAUUAAAUUGAAAAUUUUAAAUUAUAACUUGGGUUAUUUUCAUUCGCGAAAACCCUCAUGUACGUCGAAUAUGCCGGUUUAAGACACAAAAACGCGAAUAUUUUCGUAAUUCGAAUGCACUUCAAUGACGAAAAAAACGCACAAUUACGGAUUGAAAAAUCGAAAAAAUGACUAAA